UACAGAGGGUGCAAGCGUUGUUCGGAAUUAUUGGGCGUAAAGCGCGUGUAGGCGGCAUGGCAAGUCGGGUGUGAAAGCCCUCAGCUUAACUGAGGAAGUGCGCCCGAAACUGCUGUGCUUGAGUACCGGAGAGGAUGGCGGAAUGCCCCAAGUAGAGGUGAAAUUCGUAGAUAUGGGGCGGAACACCGGUGGCGAAGGCGGGUCUCUGGACAGUUCCUGACACUGAGGCACGAAGGCCAGGGGAGCAAACGGG
rnacentral:rRNA from 1 species